AACUACGAAUGUUUAUGUACUUCUAGUUGUUCUGUAAGUUUCUGUACAUGAACUACGACUUCGCUAUACAGGAAUACGACAGGAAGAAGGAUCCAGCAAAACAAAUGGAAGAUUCAUGACACAAUACUAGAACUGGAGGAUUAAUGAAGAGAAUCCGUGAUAUUUUCCUCCCUGGCUGACUACGUGUCCGUCCAACCACUUCUCCUACAACAUUCAUCUAGAGUACUGAAGAUUACUGCAGAACACACCGAAAGCUAAAUUGAGGGUGACGUGAGUAUAAUGUUUUAUAGAAAAUGAAGUUGUAUUUUUUCUAGCAAAACAUUUUCAUUCGCUUUCCAAUAUAUUCAUAAAUUCUCAUAAUCUUUACUUCCUUGCCAACAUUUCUGGGAAAUAAACAUCCCUGUGUCCGAAUUUAAUGAAUUUAAGCCGCGUAUCAAAUAUCCCAAAAACCGGUUACAAUUGAGCGCGGGCUUAAAUCUUGAAAUAUCUAAUACAAUUUCAAGUGGAACCAAUCAUAUUUGAGCCGCGGCUUAAAUUUAAACCGCGGCUCAAAUUCUUUAAAUUCGGCCUCUGGUUAUAAUUUUGUUAAUUAAUUUCCUCUUGUGGGUUGUGAUUAGUCAAUUGUCUUUCUGUUCCAAUAUGUACACUGUACACUAUAGACUGUAUGCUGUUGUACAUAGUGAGCUGUACCGUUAUUUUUUAUAAAAAAAAAUUUCCAAUAUUUUAAGUUUGACACCUUUACAUACAAACCAAUAUUAAAAUUGUGAAAUUUUGUUUCUUUUCGUAAUUUGUUCUUUUGAGACAUGAGCCGGCUUUAGAAAUAAAAAGUUAUAAUUUAAAAAUUACUAAUGUAAAGUUUAAAACUUUAUUGAAUAACAAGGAGGACGACUUUAAAUAAAAUUAAACUUUUUUUUCGGACACAGUUAUCCUGUCGUUUUAAGUGUCUGUUAAACCUAUUUUAAAUACACUUAAGUAUUUCUAUAAAGUCGUUUUCCUAUUUCAGAGUUUUCUGGUUAUAUAGGAUCAUGAAAAAUGUUCACAAUUGUAAAUGAAAGUUUUAAACAAACAAAGUUAUGCCAUUACAUUAAUUUUCUUUGGUUUUAAUUGCAAACUCCGUGAAACAAUUGUUGCGAAAGCUCAUUUUUGUAAUCAUUGUCUAAGCCCAAACGUUUGCAUGUACAGGGUGUCCCAACAUACAUGGGAAUUAAGAGACGAAUACACAAUCGUCUUUGUUAAAAAUUAGCGUUGUAAUGCCUAAUUUUCAUUUUAUGUAUAGGGUAAAGGACUGUUUUGUAAUUCUGAAGUACUACAGGAUGCUGUAUGCAGGCAAAACAUUAAAAAAAUCAAAAUUCUAUACUCUAGCCGACUAAUACAGCUUUUCUAUGUAGGGAUCACAAUUGCACACUAAAUCAAAAAAAAUAUUUACAAAAUUUUCACUUAAUUCCCAUGUUUAUUAGGACACCCUGUAUCAAAUUAUGUGAAACCAUAUUGGAAUCAUGUAAAUUACAUUUUUUAGAAUGAUGCCUUUACAAAAACUGCUACCCCUGCGCUUUAAACAGAAUUAUUCAAUCCCUUUGUAACAGAGUUUCCAUUUUUUCCGAAUAAAUUUGCCUCCUUGAAGGUCUUACGGAACUUUUCCUAAAACUGUUACUCAAACUUUUGAGAAAUAUAGGUUUACGGAUAUUUCGGGAAAAUUUUACAGUUAACGUAGUUCAGCAUGACUCAGCUUCUUCUGUAAAGUGUGUUAGGGUAAAGUAUUCCGUAGUUUUCAAAAGUUUUUAAAUAGCUUCAAACAAAUUUCGUAACAAUAUUUCGUCACGGAUUUGUUCCGGAAAAGAUGAGAAACCCUAUUCUAUAAAGUAUAAAAAUCUCAACAUAUUUAUAUUAUAACAGCACCUGUAAAAUAGAAAAACACUUUUCUUCAUA